rnacentral:rRNA from 1 species
GAUGAACGCUGGCGGCGUGCCUAAUACAUGCAAGUCGAGCGAACGGACGAGAAGCUUGCUUUUCUGAUGUUAGCGGCGGACGGGUGAGUAACACGUGGAUAACCUACCUAUAAGACUGGGAUAACUUCGGGAAACCGGAGCUAAUACCGGAUAAUAUUUUGAACCGCAUGGUUCAAAAGUGAAAGACGGUCUUGCUGUCACUUAUAGAUGGAUCCGCGCUGCAUUAGCUAGUUGGUAAGGUAACGGCUUACCAAGGCAACGAUGCAUAGCCGACCUGAGAGGGUGAUCGGCCGCACUGGAACUGAGACACGGUCCAGACUCCUACGGGAGGCAGCAGUAGGGAAUCUUCCGCAAUGGGCGAAAGCCUGACGGAGCAACGCCGCGUGAGUGAUGAAGGUCUUCGGAUCGUAAAACUCUGUUAUUAGGGAAGAACAUAUGUGUAAGUAACUGUGCACAUCUUGACGGUACCUAAUCAGAAAGCCACGGCUAACUACGUA